GAUACAACGUCUUUCUAUGUUUCCCAGGCUGGUGUCAAACUACUGGGCUCAAGUGAUCCUCUCACCUCAGCCUUCCAAAGUGCUGAAACUACAAAUGGGAGCCACCAGGCCAGGUCUUGAAUAACUUUUGUUGCUGGCCUUUUGGAAAAUUGACAGACUCCACUCACACCAUCCCCAUCCAUUCUCCCACCAUCUGCCUUCCUUCCAAGCUUAAAGAGACGGAUAUCUACCUACAAGGCAAAUCCAAUCAACCAUUAUCCUCCAAUUGCCAGACCCUGCUAGUGGCACAUCCAUCAGUACAUGAACUGAAUAUGUCACAGAGUGUAUCAAAGCUAAGGUAGGUGCCUGUCCCACCAUCAGUUGAAUGAGAAGGUUUCUGAUAUCAGAAAUUGGGCUACCCUGCUUUGCCAAGACUCUCUUUUCCAAUCUCUCAAAGGCAGAUAAUAACACUAAUGGACAAUGUGGCCAUGAGCAUUAAAACAAAUCAUUAGGCUGGAGGCUUCUCAUCAGUGCUUGAGGGCAAUUUCACCACCUGGGGCUUUCCGAGAAGGCUUUUGAAGGCUCUGAAACAUGCUCAGUCUGCAGGAGUAUGCAGGCACCCACCGUGCCCCAAGAUAUGGACUGUGGAGCGUUCAUUGUCUCAACAAUUACUCACUGCAAGGUAUUUUCUUAUGGAGUUGUUUUUGUUCCCCCUAAAAUAUUAUUACAGAAAAGAAAACUGCAUUUGAUUCCUAGUGUUGUUUUAAGAGUUCAGUGCUAGCAAACUGCCAUAUUCAUUCUAUUCUCUCUUUUCAACCAAGGAUUGUGUCAGAUGGACUCCAAUAAAUGGCUUUACAGUGGUGCAUACCAUGCACACACUAAUUACAGACCAAACAUGUCUAUUUAAUGAGAAAAACAAUCCUAAUCUGGGAAGAUGGUGCCAUUGCAUGAAAAUAUCAUGGAUUCUAGUGCCAGAUUAGCCUGGGUUGGAGUUCUGUAUCUGUCCUUUACAUCAGGGGUUCCCAGCCCCUGGCUGUGGACCGGUACUGGUCCGUGGUCUGGUACUGGUCCAUGGUCUGUUAGGAAGGGGCCACGCAGCAGGAGAUGAAUGGCAGGUGAGUGAAUAUUACUGCCUGAGCUCCUUCUCCUGUUAGAUCAGGGGUGGCAUUAGAUUAUCAUAGGAGCACAAACCCUAUUGUGAACUGUGUACAUGUGAGGGAUCUAGGUUGCACGUUCCUUAUGAGAAUCUAAUGCCUGAUGAUCUGAGGUGGAACAGUUUCAUCCAAAACCAUCCCCCAGCCCUUGUCCACCCCCCAGCCCAUGGAAAAAUUGUCUUCCACGGGACCAGUCCCUGGUGCCAAAAACGUUGGGGACUGCUGCUGUACAUGUUUGAACUUGUGGGGGUUACCUGGCCUAUUUGGACUGCAUUUUUUUGGUCUAAGAUGGGGUUGAUAACCACUUUGCAGUAUUGAUGUGACUAUGCAAUGAAUUUAUGAUCAUAAAGUACCUGGUACAUAAUUGGUGCUCAAUAAAUAUUCAUUUUCCUUUAU
rnacentral:lncRNA from 10 species